UCGAGGAUAUUUAGCAAUGGACGCAAGUCUGACUAUGCGACGCCGCGUGAGGGAUGAAGGUUUUCGGAUCGUAAACCUCUUUCGACCUGGAAGAAAACCUGUAUUUUAAUAGAAUACAGUUUGACGGUACCGGGAGAAGAAGCCACGGCCAACUCCGUGCCAGCAGCCGCGGUAAUACGGAGGUGGCAAGCGUUACUCGGAUUUAUUGGGUGUAAAGGGCAGGUAGGCGGCCUGACAAGUGGGUGGUGAAAUCCUUCGACUCAAUCGAAGAACUGCCUUCCAAACUAUCAGGCUUGAGAUCAGAAGAGGAGAAUGGAAUUCCCGGUGUAAGGGUGAAAUCUGUAGAUAUCGGGAGGAACACCAGUGGCGAAGGCGAUUCUCUGGUCUGAUACUGACGCUGAACUGCGAAAGCUAGGGGAGCAAACAGG
rnacentral:rRNA from 1 species